GAGAGCACAGUACGAUGAAAGUUGUGAGCUGUGUUCGGGGGGAGUUAUUGUCUAUCAUUGGCCUGUAUGGUAGAAUUAGUCAGGGAGGCCUGAGAGACGGUGGUUUACCCUGU
rnacentral:ncRNA from 1 species